rnacentral:rRNA from 1 species
CCCUUAGAUGUUCUGGGCCGUACGCGCGCUACACUGACGAAUGCAACGAGCUUAUAACCUUGGCCGAAAGGUCUGGGUAAUCUCCAAAUUUCGUCGUGAUGGGGAUAGAUUAUUGCAAUUAUUAAUCUUCAACGAGGAAUGCCUAGUAAGCGCAAGUCAUCAGCUUGCGUUGAUUACGUCCCUGCCCUUUGUACACACCGCCCGUCGCUCCUACCGAUUGAAUGGUCCGGUGAAGCGUUCGGACCGUGGCUUUCUGACGGUUCGCCGUCGGAUGGCCGUGGGAAGUUCGUUAAACCUUAUCAUUUAGAGGAAGGAGAAGUCGUAACA